rnacentral:lncRNA from 1 species
CAUCCCCUCCUUUUCCUUCCUCAUUGCUUCAGCCGUUCCCCCCCCCGCUCUUGGGGACUUUUCCCCGCUCUGUCCCAUGCGUGGGUCAGGAAGGCGCACGGAGGGCGAUCCUUUGGCUCUCACAAAGCAAACCAUGAGGGUGAGAGUGGGAAACGGGGCCCCUCGGGGCUCCCCCCCCCCAGGAGGAGGAGGGGGAGGAAGGGCCGUGUUUGUGCCGUGCCCGCAUUGUCCUUUGCUCCUCACGUGGCCCUGUUUGUCCCAUGGGUGCUGCUGGCACACGCUGUGCUUUCCUCGCGGCCCGGGCUGACGUACUCCAAACUUAGUUCUGCUCGGCGCUGUGUAGCGAUGGGACGAGGGGCAGCGGCCUCCAGCCCCAGCACAGAGGCACCAGGGCGCAGGAGAACCCAAGAAACCUCAUCGUGGGAGCGGGGACGGGGCAGGGCACUGGGGCGGACGCACAUCGGCUCUGGGAGCUCCACGGCGCCAGCUGGGACGCAGGGCUGGGUGCUGGGACGCAGGGCUGGGUGCUGGGUGCUGGGACACAGGGCUGAGUGCUGGGUGCUGGAAUGCAGGGCUGGUGCUGGGACACAGGGCUGGGUGCUUGGUGCUGGGACGUGGGGCCGGGUGCUGGCACACAGGGCUGUGUGCUGGGAUGCAGGGCUGAGUGCUGGGACGUGGGGCUGAGUGUUGGGAUGCAAGGCUGGGUGCUGGGAUGCAGGGCUGAGUGCUGGGUGCUGGGGCAAUGUACUGAGUUCUGGAAUGCAGGGCUGAGCGCUGGGUGCUGGGACGCAGGGCCAGAUGCUGGGAUGCAGGGCUGCAGGGCUGGGCCGCAGGGCUGGGUGCUGGGACGCAGGGCGGGGUGCUAGGAUGCAGGGCUGAGUGCCGGGUGCUGGGAUGCAGGGCUGAGUGCUGGGAUGCAGGGCUGAGUGCUGGGAUGCAGGGCUGGGUGCUGGGUACAGGGACUCAGGGCCAGGUGCUGGGAUGCAAGGCUGGAUGCUGGGAUGCAGGGCAGGGUGGACACAGUACUGGGUUCUGGGAUGCAGAGCUGGGUGCUGGGACGAAGGGCUGAGCGCUGUGUGCUGGGACGCAGGGCUGGGUGCUGGGAUGCAGGGCUGGGUGCUGGGUGCUGAGAUGUGGGGCCGGGUGCUGGGACACAGGGCUGAGUGCUGGGACACAGGGCCGGGUGCUGGGAUGCAGGGCUGAGUGCUGAGUGCUGGGACGCAGGGCUGUGCCAUUCUGCAGUGCCCAUUGCCUGGUUCUGCAGCACCAGUUGUGCCGGCAUGCAGUGCCAGCUGUGCCAUAGUGCCAGCUGU